AGCACAUAACGCAACACUUUGUGGCUAAAGAGCAGUACAUGUUGUCCAUGAGUGACAUGAAAAACAGCACUACCUCAGUAGUUGCAGGAAACCGCGGCAAACACAUGGCACGGAAUGCAUUAAGACACGCUGACGAACAAUGACAAUGGAGGCCACCGUGAGUCUCCUGUAAUAACGUCUCAAAAAGUAUAAACGAGGAGACUGAGGGUACGCUGCCGUAAAGUGGAGACUGUGGAGUAUAAUGCUGCGGACCUAUGCCACAGAAAUUGGCAACAAUUUUUCUGGUGGUUAGAGAGGAAGAAUGUGAGAAGAGAGGAUAUCCACUGCAAGUUACCGUGAAGUAAAUGGACAACGCAGAAAGACUCCGGGCGAGUCCCAAGUACUCCUGUCCAGCAUUAGUGAGUAAUUCAGUGUUGUAAUAGUUGGAGAUGAUCGCCAGCAGUCAUGUAGAUUACUGAGUAGAAGAGAUGUUUACUGGUUUCAUUUGGGUAGGUUUCUACUUCCUGGUUUGUUCCCAUUCCGGUUCACAUGUCAAAUGUUUGGACUCUGAUUUGGAGAUUUUCUUUGAUUUCCUGGCAAUCUGAUUGUACAGCUUGACAAGAAGGAGCACAGAGUGAAAGUUUUUUUUAUUACUGAGGUUAGUUUUGCAACGAUGUAGAACUGCAUUGCAUUCUACAAAGAGCUUUCUUGAAUUGUGUCAAAACUGAGCAUAAGCAUAUUUAUAGAAGCAAAUUUUUUGAUGAAGCUCUUGUAUUGUAUGUCUUUCAAACAGGUGACGAGCGAGACCAUUUUUCAUGAAAAAUAAGAAAAUUGCAAAGAGUAAUAGAAUAGCAGACUAUUAGUCCCACAGCGGGAACAUUCCUGUUUUACAGCAGCAAACUUGACAGUACACACACACUAAUAAUACGCACACAAGGCGUGAGAAACGUUCCUGGACCCGUGUCACAAAAGAUAUAUUUCAAAUCUACCAAUCACUGAGACAGUGUGAGUAAAAAAAAAAUCAUGGGGUUUCAAAAUUGCUAUGUUUUGAUUGUGACAAUGACAUUUUUUUAUUUUUAUUUUUUUUUAAUAAAUGGUAAUAAAUAAAUAAAUAGAUAAUAAUGUAUAGGGCAGACACCAAAGACGUGUUGUCCGGUCUCAUUUAGAUCAGUUAGAGUUGCUCGUGUUGCGGCGACCCCGAGAGAGACGCAAUGGUACGUCAAAGACUGCUGACUCAUGACAUUUUAGCGGCAACUUUGCCGCUUUGCUGCCUCUUCACAUUUGGGAGAAUAGAGCAGUUGUUUACUCUUUGUGGGGCUCAUCUCGAGAGGGUGACUCAUGCGCCGCUACAUGUCCAACUAUACACAGGAAACAUCAGUAUGUGAGCAUGAAUACGUUAAGUAUUACUACAGCAUAUAAGUGCUACUGUACUAAGGAUAUUUUGCUAAUCAUCUGAUGUCACAUUGUACUUCUUUAAGACCGUAAACUUACAAUAAACAACGCCUUUGUUAGUUGCAACAGAGAAGUAACAUUUUGCCAUAGCUGCUUCAAGACACAAAUAAUCAACAAUCAGUUUAACACAAUUCAAGGAAUUAUUAGUGAUCAUUCUAAGUAGGAAGACAUUCAGGGCCAUUAGACAUUCUAAUCGUCUUUGGAGGUGUGCCUACUGCAUGCACCACAUGCACAAAUCUGCUACAGUUACAAAUGUAGUUUGGCGGCUUGGUAAUGACGUGUCGCCUCCACAAGCGAAAAUACAAUCAAUGCUUUUACUGUUUUAUGGGUGUUUGCCUUUUUCCUCACACACUGGGCUAGUAGUAGGUGCUAGCUAGCUACCAUAAUUCAUAAUCCUUGGGGUAAUUUGACGAAGUUAAUUAAGUUACCUGGGAACUGAAAAGAAAAAAAGUCUCCUUUGAUAGGAGAUCAUUUUUUUACUUUUCACACUGAAAUGUGAUUUAAAACGUAUAAUUUAUUUUGCAUACAAGAAGAAAGAAAAACAACAUAUCCUGGAAUUCUGCUCCCAUUUUGGGCCAAGAACACCCCCCUCCUGAUGAAUUCCCCAAAUUCCACAAUUCCACUUUUACUGCAGGCUUUCUGUAUAAGAAAAACAGAAGUUGCUCCAACCCCGAGUUGAGACUUAAUUAAAGCCACGACUAAAAGGGACGUCACUCAAGCCAUUUCCUCCAGGCAAACUUAAAACGCCUUGUGACCACUAAAUUAAUUAACUUGUAAAUCCAGUUAAGCCAUUCAAACGAGCACUGUGGUCCUUUAAUGACGUACAAUGUUGUAACAGUAAUGUUAAAAGGGUAAAUGGAC